rnacentral:lncRNA from 1 species
CACAAGCAAUGCAACCACAGAAUCUCCUUCCAGAAGCCAACGAGGUGUGAGCAAAGCUGGAAUAAGGUGAAAAUUUCACCCGAUGAAGUGCCAAUGAACAAUUUAUUUCUGGCCACCACACCAUUUCACAGCAUCAGUCAGAGAAAAUUUUGAGGUAGAAGAAUGGCAGCCAUCAAUGAGAAACACCACUUUCCUGGGGAAUUCAAGAAAGGAACUUGGUGAAAAUAUUAAACACACACACAAAAAAGAGGGUGUUUUCUGUUCCGAAGUUCCGUAAGACAUUCUCGCUGAAGCAAUAACUUGUUCAUCAAUCCUAAGAGUCAAAAAGUUACAGUGAAGAGUUGAUGAGCCAAUGCAUAGACAGGUAAUAGUGUUUUAUUUUACUACCUU